AUGGCUCCUUACAUGCUCCCAGCUUUUGGAUUCAGAGAGUCACUUAAACUGCAACACAAGUACUAUGGUCCCUUCCUGAUUACACAGCAAGUGGGUAAAGUGGCCUACAAACUCCAUUUCGAUCACAUCAAAAUCCAUCUUGUGUUCCAUGCCAGUCAACUCAAAAGGCACCUAGCCUAAGAGCUAUCCCCAUCCCAAACAUGCAGACUGUGCAUGAGGAUGGUACACUCAAAUGUUGCACCAACGCUAGUUCUCCAGGUACAACAAAUACCUCGUCGCAAUAUUCCUAGGAUUUAGUGGCUCGUGCAGUGGGAGAACCUAGCGCCGAAGGAUGCUACAUGGGAGGACACAAACUUCAUCAAAUGCACGUUCCCGACGUUCUUCAAGUUGACCACUGCGGCGUGA
rnacentral:rRNA from 1 species